GAACGCUGGCGGCGUGCUUAACACAUGCAAGUCGAACGGAAAGGCCCUGCUUUUGUGGGGUGCUCGAGUGGCGAACGGGUGAGUAACACGUGAGUAACCUGCCCUUGACUUUGGGAUAACUUCAGGAAACUGGGGCUAAUACCGGAUAGGAGCUCCUGCUGCAUGGUGGGGGUUGGAAAGUUUCGGCGGUUGGGGAUGGACUCGCGGCUUAUCAGCUUGUUGGUGGGGUAGUGGCUUACCAAGGCUUUGACGGGUAGCCGGCCUGAGAGGGUGACCGGCCACAUUGGGACUGAGAUACGGCCCAGACUCCUACGGGAGGCAGCAGUGGGGAAUAUUGCACAAUGGGCGGAAGCCUGAUGCAGCAACGCCGCGUGCGGGAUGACGGCCUUCGGGUUGUAAACCGCUUUCGCCUGUGACGAAGCGUGAGUGACGGUAAUGGGUAAAGAAGCACCGGCUAACUACGUGCCAGCAGCCGCGGUGAUACGUAGGGUGCGAGCGUUGUCCGGAUUUAUUGGGCGUAAAGGGCUCGUAGGUGGUUGAUCGCGUCGGAAGUGUAAUCUUGGGGCUUAACCCUGAGCGUGCUUUCGAUACGGGUUGACUUGAGGAAGGUAGGGGAGAAUGGAAUUCCUGGUGGAGCGGUGGAAUGCGCAGAUAUCAGGAGGAACACCAGUGGCGAAGGCGGUUCUCUGGGCCUUUCCUGACGCUGAGGAGCGAAAGCGUGGGGAGCGAACAGGCUUAGAUACCCUGGUAGUCCACGCUGUAAACGGUGGGUACUAGGUGUGGGGUCCAUUCCACGGGUUCCGUGCCGUAGCUAACGCUUUAAGUACCCCGCCUGGGGAGUACGGCCGCAAGGCUAAAACUCAAAGGAAUUGACGGGGCCCCGCACAAGCGGCGGAGCAUGCGGAUUAAUUCGAUGCAACGCGUAGAACCUUACCUGGGUUUGACAUGGAUCGGGAGUGCUCAGAGAUGGGUGUGCCUCUUUUGGGGUCGGUUCACAGGUGGUGCAUGGCUGUCGUCAGCUCGUGUCGUGAGAUGUUGGGUUAAGUCCCGCAACGAGCGCAACCCUUGUUCACUGUUGCCAGCACGUUAUGGUGGGGACUCAGUGGAGACCGCCGGGGUCAACUCGGAGGAAGGUGGGGAUGACGUCAAGUCAUCAUGCCCCUUAUGUCCAGGGCUUCACGCAUGCUACAAUGGCUGGUACAGAGAGUGGCGAGCCUGUGAGGGUGAGCGAAUCUCGGAAAGCCGGUCUCAGUUCGGAUUGGGGUCUGCAACUCGACCUCAUGAAGUCGGAGUCGCUAGUAAUCGCAGAUCAGCAACGCUGCGGUGAAUACGUUCCCGGGGCUUGUACACACCGCCCGUCAAGUCAUGAAAGUUGGUAACACCCGAAGCCGGUGGCCUAACCGUUGUGGGGGAGCCGUCGAAGGUGGGACUGGUGAUUAGGACUAAGUCGUAACAAGG
rnacentral:rRNA from 1 species